rnacentral:rRNA from 1 species
UACGUAGGGUGCAAGCGUUGUCCGGAAUUAUUGGGCGUAAAGAGCUCGUAGGCGGUUUGUCGCGUCUGCUGUGAAAACUCGGGGCUUAACUCCGGGCCUGCAGUGGGUACGGGCAGACUAGAGUGCGGUAGGGGAGACUGGAAUUCCUGGUGUAGCGGUGAAAUGCGCAGAUAUCAGGAGGAACACCGGUGGCGAAGGCGGGUCUCUGGGCCACUACUGACGCUGAGAAGCGAAAGCAUGGGGAGCGAACAGG